AGUGCCUACCAACUGGGCCCGCGCUGCUGUUCACAGGCCGGAGCAAGUCACGCCCCAGGUAAACAAGUGUUGCCCCGAAAUAAAAAUCUCAAGAGGAAGAGGGCUGCCCUGCAGCGCCCCCCUGUACCUGGAAGGCCUGGCCUCCCUGGAGCACCACAGAGCCGGUGCCGCGCUCCCCACAGCUGGGGCCGCUCAGAAGGAGAACUGGGGAUGGCGGAGGGUCAGCUCUGAAGACAGGCGGCCCGUGGCAUCUCGCCGCUAGUGACCAGGCGAUUUGGGCUGCAGAGGGACCAGGAGCAGCUGGGGGUGUCCCAUCCUCUGGGCCAGGGAGCCAGGACCAGCUUCACCCUCUGCAGGCCUGGGGAGCUGCCCGCCCCACCAGAGCAGCCACCAGCUUCGCCCCCACCCUGGCCCUCUGGCCUCAUUCUGCCCUAAUAAAGACGUUUA